ensembl:snRNA
GUGUUUUUGGAAAGUCAAGAAUUAGGAUAGCAAUCCCCUGAAAAGAAUGGAAAACAUUUUAGGGACCUACAGCACACACAUAUAUUAAAACUAUUGCCACCUCUUUCUAGCACCUAACAGUAUUUUUG